GUCCGUCUGUGCGGGACGGCCUUCGGUGAUGUUGGACGUUUUUGCACAUGAAUAUUGUUUGUAUAAUGCAGUCAUAAUAUUUACGCAGGGACCCAGGAGGAGUGAGGUGGAAGCUCUGCCGAGCUGUGAGCGCAGAAACUCGGACGGGGGCUUGAGAUCAACUGCUGCAGGCACGCAAACCAUCGAACGAUCCAGGAAUGAAGGAAGAUUCAUUCCCACACAGUGAGUGGGAGUCUGUGUGGUGCCCCGCCCUGCAGCCCUGCAGCCCUGCACACCCGCUCACCCCCCACGGCCAGUCCAACAUGGUCUGUCUGAUGCAGAGAGAGACAUCAAUAAUAAGAGCUGAAGCAGAAACCACAGCGCAGAACACUAACGGGAGAGGGAGGGCGGACGUUGGAUACAACGGGCUCUGCUGCAGGCUGAAGUGGGCAGGCGUGCGGCUUUGGCCGCAGGAAGCUGAGAAUUCUUUGGAGAAUGGAAGAUGUCUUAUGGGGAGACAUACUGGCCUCCACCCACUCACCAUCCAGAAAUGACACCUGACCCCUUCAUGUGUUUAUAUCAGAUCAUGGAAGUGAGAAAUUGUGAUGAGUCACUCUGGCUGAGUGUUUACACUCCGGAGUCACGCAAGGAAGGAAAUCAGCCACGGUCUGCUAGCAGUGGGGAGGUGAGAGAGAAUAGCUGCAGUCCCCCUCGGCUGCAGUGAUUUACCUCUCAGAGCAGAAUUUAUUUCACGUCAUCUCUGCUGCGAAGAUCUCAGACCAACACAAAACAGCAACUUUCUCAGCGCGGUGGAGCGUUGAGGUGAAGGUGGAGAGUGGAAAGUGGAGAUAUUCACUGACGAAAGGUGGGUUUCAGUUUGCAUAAACUAUAAAAGUAAUAUUCGUUGGAAAAGAAAAUUAAGUCUUUGGACCCAGCUACUUUCUAAUAAAAUGUGUCGCUCCUCACAAAAUAUAUCUUUUCACAAUCAAAGACUUGAAAUGGUGAAGUCACUUGCAUGAUGACAACAGAUUUUCCUGUGUAUUUUGUCUUGAAAUGUUUUCCGCAUUGUUUUUUUCCUCAGCCAUGACGGAAUUUAAUUAUACAUAAAAUUCAAUUUUUUCCCCAAAUAACAAUUGCAUUCUUACUUAGAUUCUCUUUAUUAUCCUCGACAUACACUAAUACUAAUUAUCAAAUAAAUGUCCUGAAUGAAAUUUAAAAUAAUUCCUUGCAAAAGAACAACAUGUAAAAUACGUCAUCAAUCAACUGAAGGUCCCGAAACACCGUAGAAACACCUACCGUAGAAAUGAUUAUGCAGUACUUCAUUUUUACUUAACAUUUAAAAGAUGUCAUAUCUGACGCUGUAUUUCACAAGGACAUUAAUCCAAAUUCUAUGAUGAUCCUUUUUAGUAUGUCAGGAUGUAAAAAGUCAAGAGAGUCUAGUGAGAUCUGUGUUGAAAUAAACAAUUUCAUUAAAAACACCCAACUGCAUUUAAGUUUGUAGAAAUUCUUUGUUAAAAGAAAAUUUUCAACAUCUUCAUGUCACAUCAUACAACAACAGCUGAUGUGGGUCACUAUUCACUUCAUGUUCUCAAGAAUACAGGAUCACAAUGUACAUGUUCUCCUUGUGCUGUGAGUGAUCUUAUCCCUGCUGUAUCAACCACACUGGAUACGUAUUGCUUCAUGCUGCAGAGGACUUUGUGUUCAACGUACACUGUAAAGCGUGUUUACUGAGGCGCCAACCAGGGUUUCAAACAUUGUGUCAUUGUCGUCCUCCCGCACACCCGCACACACAACGCCACAACGAGAGAGUCAGCAGGUCUUAUGUUGUCCGAUCUCUUCUGAAUUGUUAGUCCUGUCAGAGGCUUUGAUUGAUAGCUAUGUUCAUCAACGUAUUAUUAAGUAAUCAGACCCACCGCAGCGGGGCCUGAAGCUCCUUAAUUCAAGCUCAAAGCACACGGCUUCAUGCUAAUUAAAGGUUUGGCGAAAUGGGUGAUUUUUGAGAAUAAAGAAUUCACGGUGUGUAUUCUAGAAAAUGUAGUACGGCCUUUCACGGUCAGAAAGAUUACGGUCAAAAUCUAAAUCUUUCAAUAGUCUGUUUUACGUUGCGGUGGAAGCUGAAAACGAACAUCACGGUACAGUAAAUCACAUCUGUGUGUAGCAUGAGAGGUUGAAUCGGUCCAUGUUCUGUGUAUCGGCAGAGGUUUCUUUCUCGCUUCGUUAAUAGAGCCCGCGGCGGCCUGCGCUUGUGUAUUCCUGAGGUAAACACAGUCAUGGCAAAGUGGACGUGCCGCUGAGUGUGUCCUGACUGGAGACAGAGAGCACUGUGGCACUGCAGCGACUGAGACACCGGCAGCUCUCCAGAGCCGGGGCUAAUGUGAUGAAUGGCCGUUUGGUAAUGGGCCAUGUAUUAGGGGCAAAGUAGCUCUUUUAAAAGCCCGAGCUGGAGCCGUUCAUAUGGGCAAUUUGAUUCAGGAAUCAAUCAGGUAGCAGAUGUUUCAUGUUGCAUCAGUCAACUCUGUCUCGCUCUCUCUUUCAACCAGAUGAAAGAGGAACUGCUUGAAUGACGGCGCGUAGCCGUUAAAUGAAAGUGUAAAUUCACGCAGUCUAAAACGUCGCUGGGCUUUAAAAAAGUUGAUCCUGAAUCGAGGUGACAGACGCAGUCACAUGCUGAGCGGCAGGAACUCGCAUUGGACUGUGUGUCAUUGAAGGAACCGCCUCAGUGUCAAUCAGUGAGGACACUGUAAUGUAAAUGUAACAAUACUGUGCUUGAGGAACUGCAGUGCUAUUUUCUAUCUGUUGUGGAAAUGAUUGGACUCAAGUUGGACCUCUUGUAACAUGAAUACCUGUUUUUGGGAACAGGGUAUUUAGAUUUAUCCUCAAAUUAAAAUAAAAGAUGUGCGCCAAUUUUCAAAUAUUAGAUUUCCAAAAAGGCUUGGAUUUGUGUAUGUAAUAAACAAGGUGCUUUGUGUUAUAUUGCCUAUUACUUUCCUACCGUAUCCUCGUUUUUUAUACCAACCCUAACGUUUGUUUCUGUUGUUGUGUUAAUACGGUCUGCUGCUACAUUGUUAUGGACCUAAGUUGGAAUUGGUUUUACAUUUUUAUUUCAGUAAUAAAGAGUUUGAAUUGGUA